UUAAGCGACUAAGCGUACACGGUGGAUGCCCUGGCAGUCAGAGGCGAUGAAGGACGUGCUAAUCUGCGAUAAGCGUCGGUAAGGUGAUAUGAACCGUUAUAACCGGCGAUUUCCGAAUGGGGAAACCCAGUGUGAUUCGUCACACUAUCAUUAACUGAAUCCAUAGGUUAAUGAGGCGAACCGGGGGAACUGAAACAUCUAAGUACCCCGAGGAAAAGAAAUCAACCGAGAUUCCCCCAGUAGCGGCGAGCGAACGGGGAGCAGCCCAGAGCCUGAAUCAGUGUGUGUGUUAGUGGAAGCGUCUGGAAAGGCGCGCGAUACAGGGUGACAGCCCCGUACACAAAAAUGCACAUACUGUGAGCUCGAUGAGUAGGGCGGGACACGUGGUAUCCUGUCUGAAUAUGGGGGGACCAUCCUCCAAGGCUAAAUACUCCUGACUGACCGAUAGUGAACCAGUACCGUGAGGGAAAGGCGAAAAGAACCCCGGCGAGGGGAGUGAAAAAGAACCUGAAACCGUGUACGUACAAGCAGUGGGAGCCUCUUUUAUGGGGUGACUGCGUACCUUUUGUAUAAUGGGUCAGCGACUUAUAUUCUGUAGCAAGGUUAACCGAAUAGGGGAGCCGAAGGGAAACCGAGUCUUAACUGGGCGUUAAGUUGCAGGGUAUAGACCCGAAACCCGGUGAUCUAGCCAUGGGCAGGUUGAAGGUUGGGUAACACUAACUGGAGGACCGAACCGACUAAUGUUGAAAAAUUAGCGGAUGACUUGUGGCUGGGGGUGAAAGGCCAAUCAAACCGGGAGAUAGCUGGUUCUCCCCGAAAGCUAUUUAGGUAGCGCCUCGUGAAUUCAUCUCCGGGGGUAGAGCACUGUUUCGGCAAGGGGGUCAUCCCGACUUACCAACCCGAUGCAAACUGCGAAUACCGGAGAAUGUUAUCACGGGAGACACACGGCGGGUGCUAACGUCCGUCGUGAAGAGGGAAACAACCCAGACCGCCAGCUAAGGUCCCAAAGUCAUGGUUAAGUGGGAAACGAUGUGGGAAGGCCCAGACAGCCAGGAUGUUGGCUUAGAAGCAGCCAUCAUUUAAAGAAAGCGUAAUAGCUCACUGGUCGAGUCGGCCUGCGCGGAAGAUGUAACGGGGCUAAACCAUGCACCGAAGCUGCGGCAGCGACGCUUAUGCGUUGUUGGGUAGGGGAGCGUUCUGUAAGCCUGUGAAGGUGUGCUGUGAGGCAUGCUGGAGGUAUCAGAAGUGCGAAUGCUGACAUAAGUAACGAUAAAGCGGGUGAAAAGCCCGCUCGCCGGAAGACCAAGGGUUCCUGUCCAACGUUAAUCGGGGCAGGGUGAGUCGACCCCUAAGGCGAGGCCGAAAGGCGUAGUCGAUGGGAAACAGGUUAAUAUUCCUGUACUUGGUGUUACUGCGAAGGGGGGACGGAGAAGGCUAUGUUGGCCGGGCGACGGUUGUCCCGGUUUAAGCGUGUAGGCUGGUUUUCCAGGCAAAUCCGGAAAAUCAAGGCUGAGGCGUGAUGACGAGGCACUACGGUGCUGAAGCAACAAAUGCCCUGCUUCCAGGAAAAGCCUCUAAGCAUCAGGUAACAUCAAAUCGUACCCCAAACCGACACAGGUGGUCAGGUAGAGAAUACCAAGGCGCUUGAGAGAACUCGGGUGAAGGAACUAGGCAAAAUGGUGCCGUAACUUCGGGAGAAGGCACGCUGAUAUGUAGGUGAAGCGACUUGCUCGUGGAGCUGAAAUCAGUCGAAGAUACCAGCUGGCUGCAACUGUUUAUUAAAAACACAGCACUGUGCAAACACGAAAGUGGACGUAUACGGUGUGACGCCUGCCCGGUGCCGGAAGGUUAAUUGAUGGGGUCAGCGCAAGCGAAGCUCUUGAUCGAAGCCCCGGUAAACGGCGGCCGUAACUAUAACGGUCCUAAGGUAGCGAAAUUCCUUGUCGGGUAAGUUCCGACCUGCACGAAUGGCGUAAUGAUGGCCAGGCUGUCUCCACCCGAGACUCAGUGAAAUUGAACUCGCUGUGAAGAUGCAGUGUACCCGCGGCAAGACGGAAAGACCCCGUGAACCUUUACUAUAGCUUGACACUGAACAUUGAGCCUUGAUGUGUAGGAUAGGUGGGAGGCUUAGAAGUGUGGACGCCAGUCUGCAUGGAGCCGACCUUGAAAUACCACCCUUUAAUGUUUGAUGUUCUAACGUUGACCCGUAAUCCGGGUUGCGGACAGUGUCUGGUGGGUAGUUUGACUGGGGCGGUCUCCUCCUAAAGAGUAACGGAGGAGCACGAAGGUUGGCUAAUCCUGGUCGGACAUCAGGAGGUUAGUGCAAUGGCAUAAGCCAGCUUGACUGCGAGCGUGACGGCGCGAGCAGGUGCGAAAGCAGGUCAUAGUGAUCCGGUGGUUCUGAAUGGAAGGGCCAUCGCUCAACGGAUAAAAGGUACUCCGGGGAUAACAGGCUGAUACCGCCCAAGAGUUCAUAUCGACGGCGGUGUUUGGCACCUCGAUGUCGGCUCAUCACAUCCUGGGGCUGAAGUAGGUCCCAAGGGUAUGGCUGUUCGCCAUUUAAAGUGGUACGCGAGCUGGGUUUAGAACGUCGUGAGACAGUUCGGUCCCUAUCUGCCGUGGGCGCUGGAGAACUGAGGGGGGCUGCUCCUAGUACGAGAGGACCGGAGUGGACGCAUCACUGGUGUUCGGGUUGUCAUGCCAAUGGCACUGCCCGGUAGCUAAAUGCGGAAGAGAUAAGUGCUGAAAGCAUCUAAGCACGAAACUUGCCCCGAGAUGAGUUCUCCCUGACCCUUUAAGGGUCCUGAAGGAACGUUGAAGACGACGACGUUGAUAGGCCGGGUGUGUAAGCGCAGCGAUGCGUUGAGCUAACCGGUACUAAUGAACCGUGAGGCUUAACCU
rnacentral:rRNA from 1 species